GGCAUUGCCAAGGUUGCACAUGCAAUUACGAACGCGGACCAACGCGUUUUCACCUCAGUUUGUUGCGUAGACCGUGUGUGUUGCGUUGCACAUGCACUUACGAACGCGGGCCAACGCGUUUUCGCCUCAGUUCGUUGCGUAGACCGUGUGUGUUGCGAUAUGCCGUAGCGACUGACAGGAGGUAUUUGACAGUCGUUUGCAAAUGUGGACGAUUUUUUAAAAUCUUUCGUGUGGCUGGUACCCGUUCAGAACUUGCUGCCAGGGUGACUUAAUGUUAACUCAAUAAUUGUUUUACAACACUACGUGCUAAGUUUUCAGAAAACUCCCAGUAAAGAAGUCCAUAAAUAUUUGCAAAAAUGCUUCGUAGGUGUUGUCUAUGAAAUUUUUGUGAUUGUGAAGUGUUUUCCUGAUGAGAUGUCGUAUAAUUAGUGUUGCGUUGCUACAAUUAACAGCCGUCUGUUUUAACUUCGAUGAUGGGUUGGAUACAAUACUGCUCUCAGGUUCCAGGGAAUAAUUGCUGUAAACAGAUCAUAUUUAAGGUGCUUCAUACAUGAAGGAAUCCUGAAAUGACAGUAUGCAGCAUGAUGUUAAAAUGCUUUUGGAAUUUCGUCUCAAAGGUGAUCCCUCCGUGGCUGUACUCAUCAGACUUCUUCCUUUGUUCAUUUGGUGGUUCUGUUCACAUGUCUAGUUCAUAUACUUGCAAAAGUAACACUCUGUGUCUCACAAUGAAAAGUGACAGAUUUCUGAAUGUCAUUAUCUUUUUGUUCAUUAUAACAUGCAUAAAUGAGGCAAACCAUGUUUCUAGUCGAUGUAUCAAUGUUACUAUUUGUUUUCAUAACUUGAAAUACAU